rnacentral:sRNA from 1 species
CGCUGGUCCGGAGCCUGUGGGUUAUCAAUUGUUCAGAAUCUUCCCACAGGCAUAAACUUGACCACAC